GCGAUCGCUUGUGCCCUCCUUGUGCGGGAAUGAGGGUCGGCUUUCCCUGCCUGGGCCUCCUUCACCUGCUGCUUCAGGCUGCGGACUUGAGUAAACCAAUAGACAAAAGGAUAUACAAAGGAACACAGCCUACAUGCCAUGACUUCAAUCACUUAACAGCCACAGCAGAAAGUGUGUCACUUCUAGUGGGCUUCUCUGCAGGCCAGGUCCAACUUAUAGAUCCUAUUAAAAAAGAAACUAGCAAAUUAUUUAAUGAGGAAAGACUAAUAGACAAGACCAGAGUAACCUGUGUAAAAUGGGUACCAGGUUCGGAAAGCCUUUUCCUAGUAGCUCAUUCCAGUGGCAAUAUGUACUUGUAUAACGUGGAGCACACUUGUGGUACCACAGCCCCGCACUACCAGCUACUUAAACAAGGAGAGAGUUUUGCAGUGCAUACUUGCAAGAGUAAAUCCACAAGAAACCCUCUGCUUAAAUGGACAGUAGGUGAGGGUGCCCUGAAUGAAUUUGCCUUUUCCCCUGAUGGGAAGUUCUUGGCGUGUGUGAGCCAGGAUGGUUUUCUUCGCGUGUUUAACUUUGAUUCAGUGGAACUGCAUGGUACAAUGAAAAGCUACUUUGGAGGACUGCUGUGUGUGUGUUGGAGCCCCGAUGGGAAAUACAUAGUGACAGGCGGAGAGGAUGACUUGGUGACAGUUUGGUCUUUCGUGGACUGUCGAGUUAUAGCCAGAGGCCAUGGACAUAAAUCGUGGGUCAGUGUCGUUGCGUUUGAUCCGUAUACCACUAGUGUAGAAGAGAGUGACCCGAUGGAAUUUAGCGGAAGUGAUGAGGAUUUCCAAGACCUUCAUUUUGGCAGAGAUCGAGCAAAUAGCACGCAAUCUAGACUAUCCAAAAGGAACUCUACAGACAGUCGUCCAGUAAGUGUUACGUAUAGAUUUGGUUCAGUAGGCCAGGACACACAGCUCUGUUUGUGGGAUCUUACAGAAGAUAUCCUCUUCCCCCACCAACCUCUCUCAAGAGCAAGGACACACACAAAUGUCAUGAAUGCCACAAGUCCACCUGCGGGAAGUGGUGGAACUAACCCAGGAAGUAAUGGAAACAGUAUCACAACACCUGGAAACUCUGUACCCCCUCCUCUUCCACGGUCAAACAGCCUUCCACACUCUGCAGUCUCAAAUGCUGGCAGUAAAAGCAGUGUCAUGGAUGGUGCCAUUGCUUCUGGCGUUAGUAAAUUUGCAACCUUAUCGCUACACGAUCGGAAGGAAAGACACCAUGAAAAAGAUCACAAGAGAAACCAUAGCAUGGGACAUAUAUCUAGCAAGAGCAGUGACAAACUGAACCUAGUUACUAAAACCAAAACGGACCCAGCUAAAACUUUGGGAACACCUCUCUGUCCCCGAAUGGAAGAUGUUCCCUUGUUAGAGCCUCUUAUCUGUAAAAAGAUAGCACAUGAAAGACUGACUGUGUUAAUUUUUCUUGAAGACUGUAUAGUCACUGCUUGUCAGGAGGGAUUUAUUUGCACAUGGGCAAGGCCUGGUAAAGUGGUAAGUUUUAAUCCUUAAUGCUGCAUCAAAGAACUAGAACUCUGAAUAGAUAGUUUUCUUGAAAUAUAAUGAAUGUUGAAUAUAAAAUUUCUUUAUGCUUAAUGUAAAAAAAAUAUCCUCAGAGCCAUACUUUUGGAUACUGCAUGCCAUAUUUCUGAAUGAUUUGAAGUGUCUUGGAUACAAUUAUUAAAUAUAGUUGCCUUCCAGCAGAAGAAAUAAAUACUGUGCAUCUAAACUAUUGAUCAGUGUUCUUAUACUUAAGCAUAACCACAAUAUGGUGAAAGCUAUUUAUGUAAAAAUUGAAGUAAAACUUGUCAAACACUAAAAUAAUCAUAAUCCUUCUAAUGUUUUCUACAAAAUAAGCACUCCCAAUGAGAGUAGCUUAUGAAAAGCUGCUGCUUCUAAGUCUAAUGAGAAUUGUGAGCCUCUGAAAAAAUGAAAACCAAAGUGUUUUAUUCAUCCAUACUUUUCUGUGGUGGCUUGCCAUUAAUGUGAAACCACUUCUUAUUACAACAUCAGCCAUUUUAUGCACAGAUUCGUGAGCCCUGUACUGACUGUAGUUUAUGCUCUUGAAUUGUGAAUCAGUAUUAUCAAGGAACUCUAAUUUUAGCCAGGUUUUGAUUUAUGUAUUUAAGUUAGGGAAAAUCCUGCAAGCUUUCUCUCAGUAGUUUCAGUGUUCUGUUCCUGUCAGGUUUGUCAGGCAGUUCAACCACUACAAGCUCGUGUUUAUGAUGGCAUCUGUUCCAUCAGCUGAACCUACAUUAGUCUAUUACUACUUUUCACUCUUGCUGUUGAUGCACUUGAACACCUAUAUUAUUUUAUUUUUCUUCUGGCCAAUGUAUAGAUAGCUAAAUUUUGACAGAAGCUAAAUGUGGUGAUUCUUACAUUAAAAAGUACUUUGUGCUACAAUAGCUCUGCCUGCCAGCAACAGUUCAAAGAAAUACGGCUAUGAAAACAUUUCCAGAGUUGAUCUGAGAAAAAGGACCAUUAUUUUUGUGAAAAUUUCUGAAAGGGGAUGUAGAUAUCAUCUGAAGUAAAAGAAAUGAUCUGCUAAUACCUGAAUAAUGCCAUGUUGAGCAACUUAAAUGAAAAUCUCUUGUUUGUUAGAUUUUAACCAUUUGGUUCAUAAAUCUGACUUUUGAAGUAGAGGUACUGUAUAUAUUUAGAUACCACAUCUUCAUUGCUAUAAACUUGCAAGUAAAACUCAAUAAUUUUUCUUAAAAUUGUUUGUAUAAUGUAGGCUUUUUUGAGAUCUUACCAAAUCUGUCACAGCAUAGGUAUGCAUAAAAAUUGUGUCUGUUCUGCAUCUUAGUGCAUAUUUAAAGGUUGAAUCUAAAACUUAAAAUUGAAAACCCCUUUAUAGGAGAAGGGAAUAGGGGGUUACCUAAAUGUAUUUUUUUGCCUGAGAGCUACAAAUCCAGCAUUAAUUAAAAAAAAAAAAAGCACUCCCUUAGAAUGCUAAAUUAUUUAAAACAUUUGCUCAAAAUGAAAGUAUUAAAGCAAUUAUACUUUUGUGACUCAGUGCACUUCACAUCUUAUUAAUUACAGCAGUGCCUCAGAUUGCUAUUGUGAGCUACAUUUUGUUCUAAAACUCCGUUGCAUACUAUUAAACACUACACUGUCACAUUUAUUUUCAGUGGCUGAGGUGGGUUUUGUUAGACUGAGUAUUACUUAAAUAUUUUUGUGUAUUGACUUUGAUUUGGAAUAUGACAUUUCAAAUAUUUCAGAGAUAAAGUAUGCAGUACCAAAAAUCAGGAUUUAUGUAUUGGCCAAUAUGGAAAACUUAAACUACAGGCCUUGAUGGGAAACCUAAAUGGAAUUACAGAACUGCUGGAUUAAUUUGAAAAUGUAGAAACAAUUUGGAAGGAACAAAAGUAAACUUUAUUGUGCUAUCUUUAUAGCUACAUCAAAUUUAAUUACAGGAUCUGCAGAAACAAUUAAAAAACCUCAAUAAAACCAACCCAUGAAACCCCGAAGUGGUACUUGGAUAUCCAAAAUAAGCUUUAUCUGAACUCAGUGGUCAGUGUAACUACUUACAUAAUUUCUGUGUUGGACUUUAGAACCGACUGUUCACUGUCUGUACAGCAACUCCAUUUUAUGUGAAUGAAAGUUGCCAGUGAGUUCCCUAUGUCAGAAAGCUCAAGGUAAGAUUGGCCAGAAGUACCCCCAGGUGAAAUGGCAGUGUAUAACCUAGCAAGAGAAACAUCCUACCACUUUGUAAAACAAAUGCACAUGGAAUUUAUUUAUUUGACUUAUUGUACAGGAAAACUUAGACUUAAAUUAUAACAUCCUUGAAUUUUCUAGUUAACUACAAUUGUAGUACAGUAUCAUGUUUUAGUAUGACUUCUGUUUUAGUGAAAGUACUUAAACAUUCAUGUACUAUAUUUGAGUGAGACAAGCAGCUAUACAUACUAAUUCUUCCUCAGUGGAAAGGAGCAUUUCAUCAUUACAAUUGAAGUUCAAUUGCUGGUAUUUAAGUACUAUCAAAUAGAUUUCUUUCAACGUGAUACGGUAUCUGUAUAAACUUCAGGGAUGAUUAUAGUUAAAUGAAACACAGCUAUACAACUUCAGGUUACCAUGCUAAAAUUUGAAGCUUUCUGUAAUGUGCACAAUAGCAAAGUUGCACAUGGCAUACCCGCAUUAUCAGGGUGAAUUAAACCUAGAGUACACUGGUGUGAUAUUUAUAGCAAGGUAUGUGUGUGUGUGUGUGUGAGGAGGUGUGACAAGUGGCUCCAGUAAAGCCAGGAGAGAUCAUAACCUGUAAAGGCUUUAUGAUGAGGAUGUCUGGAUUAGGAAAUAACAUGACUUUUACUAAACACUUUCUAGAAAACCCAUGUUCUGAAUUAUCACCUCUUAAAAUUUGAGUAUGUACUUGGAAUGACUGUAUAUGUCUGCCCCUUUAACAACAUAAAACUACUAAAUUAAUAUUUAAAAUGCUGGCCUGCUUAUGUUACAAUAAUAAAAUUUGUGUCAGUUAAUUUACUGUCAAUUUACAUGUAAAGAUUAAACUAUUUUUUCUGCAUUUUAUGAUUCUGUAUACUGGAGUUUGUUAAAGAUUGACAUGUUAGGUGAUACUGUACAAAAUUGUAUUGACUACCUUUAGUGAAAAUCAAAAGUAAAAUUCAUAUGUAUUUCCUUUUUACACUUCCAUCUAAUUUCUUGACAACUUGAAUAAAUUUCAUAGAGCCUUUCUAACAUGAACUAUUGUUAAUUUAACUGUUGCAAUAAUUAAGCUUUAAGAAGUAUUGUUGGUAUAUUUAUAAUUUUAAGAAGAUCAUGUUUGUUUCAUACUGCUUAUUUUUAGCUGUUCUAUUGUCACUGUUACAGCUGAAGAACUUUACUAAAUACUUGACAUUACAAAAUAACUUGCUGGGGUUGUCCUCUGUAUACUGAUGUUAAAUAAAAAUGUGUGAUUGAACUGUAAAUGUAGAUAACUUUCAAUAGUCCUUUCCACAUUUGAGUUUUAAUUUAUCUUGCAGUGUUUAGGUGCUCUCACACUGUGCUGAACAAAUGGCCACAAUGAAACUGUUAACUUGCCAUGCUUUAAAGUAAGAAGUUGAUCACAUCUGCUCUGAGAAAAUGUUUCAAUAUGUCUCCAGAUUAUGCAGAUGUUUUGAUGUUUAAAUCUUGCUGAUAAGGUCAAGAUUUGUGGUAGCUAUUUUUUUAGGAUUAGAGUAACAUUAAACAGAAUACUUACCAAACCACUUUUCAAACUUGUUUAA